AUUGAACGCUGGCGGCAGGCCUAACACAUGCAAGUCGAGCGGAUGAAGGGAGCUUGCUCCUGGAUUCAGCGGCGGACGGGUGAGUAAUGCCUAGGAAUCUGCCUGGUAGUGGGGGAUAACGUCCGGAAACGGGCGCUAAUACCGCAUACGUCCUGAGGGAGAAAGUGGGGGAUCUUCGGACCUCACGCUAUCAGAUGAGCCUAGGUCGGAUUAGCUAGUUGGUGGGGUAAAGGCCUACCAAGGCGACGAUCCGUAACUGGUCUGAGAGGAUGAUCAGUCACACUGGAACUGAGACACGGUUCAGACUCCUACGGGAGGCAGCAGUGGGGAAUAUUGGACAAUGGGCGAAAGCCUGAUCCAGCCGUGCCGCGUGUGUGAAGAAGGUCUUCGGAUUGUAAAGCACUUUAAGUUGGGAGGAAGGGCAGUAAGUUAAUACCUUGCUGUUUUGACGUUACCAACAGAAUAAGCACCGGCUAACUUCGUG
rnacentral:rRNA from 1 species